UUCCGGUUUUUGCGAAAAAGGUCUAUUGGGUCCAGGUGUGCAGAGCGGUUCGGUUCUGCGGGAUGGAGUUCUGCGGUGGCGUUCAGGAUUCUUUGCUGGAAAAAGGACCUCAAAGAACAAAACAAAGAGGAAGAUCUCCAGCCGCUGUGCGUCAUACCUGGAGGAAGGGCAGAUGAUCCCCUGACCUUGGUUGUGGCGGUCUGCAGCCCCGGUGUGGCGGUGCCGCCGGCAGCAGGAAUCCUCACUUCCUGCUUGGGGUCGCUCCACCUGUCCACAUACCUGCAGCAUGGCCACACCCACCUGAGAGACAACAGUCUGAGGCUGAUUUCAGCUGAAUAUGAAGUUUAUUCAACCGUGAAGAUCCUACAGUGAAGCAGGCCCCUCACAUCACGAUGGCUGCAGAUCACUCAUCAGACCACCAGGAGUUUAGUCUUUAAGGACGCUUCUGGACAUGGGCAGAGAGGGUUCGAACCUCAGGAUCAGACCUGUUUGGUGUGAUCUGGACUUUUACUUUGAAAACCUGACUGAUUCUGAAGAGUUUGAAAACGCCCUGAGGUUUGAUUCUAUGUCGAUGACUGCAGACACGGCAGGAACUUUCUCCAGCAGCAGUGAGGUGACUGUAGUUGUUGCUCUCUUCCAGCAGGGGGCAGACCUGCACAGCUCCUGCCGGGGUCGCCCCCCCCUCUGACUGUAGCCUUCAGGCAGACCUGACAAAAGCAGCAAGAGUUUCUGUCCAACUGCAACAAAGAUGUCAAACAUGGAUCACAAAAACGUUAGUUGGCUGCUUUAUAACCUCUGUAUUGUCGUCAUUAGAUGUUUAAGGAGGUUUAUUUUUAAUACUUUUAUUUCAGCCAAUUUAGUAUUCUGGGAUGUAAAUUCUUGUUUAAAUGACUGAUUUGUUUUUGGAUUGUAAAUUAUUUGUAAUUUCUUUGUUUUUAUUGAUGUACUUUCUGAGUUUGGGUGGAUGUCAAUAUUUGUUUUUAUUUAAAUUUAUUUGAAUGAAGCACAUAAAACCACUUUAAAUUUGCUUGAACAUGUAAACAUAUUUUAUUUUAGUUUGUGUUAAGUCUCUGUUAUAGAGGCUGCAUGCUCUGCUGGUUAAUGAAAUGACCCCCCCCCCCACCUCCCCGUUUGUUGUCUAGCCACGCCCCCUUUUGAAAAUGCUCAAUGAAAAUGAUAAAAAAAUAAAAGCCUGUAUUUUCCAGA